GCAUGCCAAUUUUGAAAUGGCAAAUCUAUGCGACACCACCACGUUUCUAGUGAUAUCCUAGCUCAUGAAAACACGUGUACUGCAUCAUCUCUGCACUAAUAUUCACUUUCUUCACUCUUCAUCAAUUGUAAUUAACUAAUUAUAGAACCAACUUUGUUAUUCUCUGAGUCUGUACUGCACAUCUAGCUUGGUAACCAAUAUGAGUGGCCAUCUCUUCCCCUUCAACACUUCCUUGAGGCCAUUCCUGGCCAAGCACUUGAGAGCAUGUGUCUACCUGCCCAUCAAGAGUUAUGCCCAAGCAAGCAAGCACAACGAUCCUCGUGAAAUAAUACAAGAGAGGGCACCUUCAACCGCUAGACAAUUCAAAAAAAUGGCUGAGGAGAAGCUGAGGAAGGCCCAGCAAGGAGUGGCUAGUCAAGUUGCUGAAAAGGUAUAUGAUGGUAAGGAAGAGGUUACUUUGUGUGACAAAGCAUUUUCCAACAAGGCCUAGCUGAUCGGCUAGCUACUGGCUACAUAUAUAUCUGAUUUGAAGGGAAAGUUAUUAGAUAAUCAUGGAGUAUGACACUCCGUCCUAUUACAUUCAUCCGUUCUGUUAUAUUCAUGGUAAAUCUUAUAAUAAGUUUAAUUAGUAGAAUUCAUUAUGAAUAUAAGAGAACAAAGUAUCAUGUCAUUGUACUUCAGGAAUACUUAAUAAUUACCUGUCAUCCUGUAUAAAAAUAAGAUAAUUGUGUAGAGUUUGAAAAUAAGGCAGCAAGUGUUUCACGUCUUCAAAGUCAAGACAGUUUUCUUAUGCAAUUUACGUAAUUGAGCUCUGCAAUAAAUCAUGUAUUGAUUUAA